UACGUAGGGGCUAGCGUUGUCCGGAAUCAUUGGGCGUAAAGAGCGUGUAGGCGGCCCGAUAAGUCCGGCUGUAGAAAGUCCAGGGCUCAACCCUGGGAUGCCGGUGGAUACUGUCGGGCUAGAGUGCGGAAGAGGCGACUGGGAAUUCCUGGUGUAGCGGUGAAAUGCGCAGAUAUCAGGAGGAACACCGAUGGCGAAGGCAGGUCUCUGGGCCACUACUGACGCUGAGAAGCGAAAGCAUGGGGAGCGAACAGG
rnacentral:rRNA from 1 species